GUACUCGCUUCGGCAGCACACAUACUAAAAUUGGAAUGAUACAGAGAAGAUUAGCAUAGCCCUUGCAGAAGGAUGAUAUUCAAAUUCAUGAAACGUUCCAUAUUUUU